rnacentral:rRNA from 1 species
CCUUUCGGGGGACGACGGUGGAAUGAGCGGCGGACGGGUGAGUAACACGUAAAGAACCUGCCCUUAGGUCUGGGAUAACCACGAGAAAUCGGGGCUAAUACCGGAUGUGUCAUCGGACCGCAUGGUCCGCUGAUGAAAGGCGCUCCGGCGUCGCCCAUGGAUGGCUUUGCGGUGCAUUAGCUAGUUGGUGGGGUAACGGCCCACCAAGGCGACGAUGCAUAGCCGACCUGAGAGGGUGAUCGGCCACACUGGGACUGAAACACGGCCCAGACUCCUACGGGAGGCAGCAGUAGGGAAUCUUCCACAAUGGACGAAAGUCUGAUGGAGCAACGCCGCGUGAACGAUGAAGGCUUUCGGGUCGUAAAGUUCUGUUGUAAGGGAAGAACAAGUGCCGCAGGCAAUGGCGGCACCUUGACGGUACCUUGCGAGAAAGCCACGGCUAACUACGUGCCAGCAGCCGCGGUAAUACGUAGGUGGCAAGCGUUGUCCGGAAUUAUUGGG